GUCCUCAGCAUCAGGAGACGUGAGUCUGGAAGUGUUACACAUCAUAUAUCCGUAUCUACGUAAUCUGUAUGUAACCUGUCCUGUGUCCUCAGCAUCAGAGAAGGGACAGUGAGUCUGGACAGUGUUACAACAUCAUAUAUCUGUUAAUACUGUAUGUAACCUGUCCUGUGUCCUCAGCAUCAGGAGACAGGAGUCUGGACAGUGUUUACACAUCCUAUAUCUGUUAAUACUGUAUGUAACCUGUCCUGUGUCCUCGACAUCCGGAGAAAGUGAGUCUGGACAGUUACACAUCAUAUAUCUGUAUAAUUACUGUAUAUCUAUAUGUACACUGUCCUGUGUCCUCAGCAUCAGAGACAGUGAGUCUGACAGUGUUACACUCAUUAUCUGUAUAAUACUGUAUGUAACCUGUCCUGUGUCCUCAGCAUCAGGAGACAGUGAGUCUGGACAGUGUUACACAUCAUAUAUCUGUAUAAUACUUAUGACCUGUCCGUGUCCUCCGCUAAGGCGACAGUGAGUCUGGACAGUGUUACACAUCUAUAUCUGUAUAAUACUGUAUAUUAUAUUAACCUGGCUCUGUGUCCUCAGCCUCAGGGACAGUGAGUCUGGACAGUGUUACACAUCAUAUAUCUGUAUAAUACUGUAAUCUGUAUGAACCUGUCCUGUGUCCUCGCAUCAGGAGACAGUGAGUCUGGACAGUGUUCAACAUCAUAUAUCUGUAAAUACUGUAUGUAACCUGUCCUGUGUCCUCAGCAUCAGGAGCAGUGAGUCUGGACAGUGUUACACAUCAUAUAUUGUAUAAUACUGUAUAUCUGUAUGUAACAUGUCCUGUGUCCUCAGCAUCAGGAGACAGUGAGUCUGGACCGUGUUACACAUCAUAUAUCUGUAUAAUUACUGU
rnacentral:lncRNA from 1 species